GGGGAGAGGGACUGGAGAUUGACGGGGCCAAUGAUUUAAUCAUCCAUGCCUACAUAGUGAAGCCCCUAUAAAAACCCCUAAAUGAGAGUGUCAGGGUUGGUGAACAUGUCACAGUGCCAGGAGGGUGGUCUCCCUGGAGAGGUCGCAGAAGCUCCAAGCACACCCACACCCUGUACCUUGCCCCGGGCGUCUCUUCCAUUUGCCUGUUACUAAAUUGUAUCCAUUAUAAUGAAUUGGUAAUAUUUAAGUGAAGUGCUUUCCUGAGUUCUAUAUAUCAUUCUGGUGAAUUAUUGAACCUUGGGGUUAGGGGGUGCUGUGGAAGCCCCUGAUUAACAGGCAGUCAUCAAAAGUACUGGGGGUGGCAUCUGAAGAGGACGUGGUCUUGUGGGACUGAGCCCUUAAACCUUUGGAGUCUGAUGUCAACUCCAAGUAGUCAGUGUCAGAAUUGAAUUGAAUUGUUGGACACCCAGUUGGUGUCAGAGAAUUGGAGGAGGAGGGGACUUUACUUGUGAAUAUAUAUAGAUGCAAAACCCUAAAUAAAAUAUUAGCAAAUAAAAUCAGGCAUCCAACCAGGGUUUAUUCCAGGAAUGCAAGGGUAAUUCAAUAUUCCAAAAUCAAUCAAGAUAAUUCAUCACAUUAGUAGAAAAAAAAAAUCAUUAAACCAUCUCAGUAGACAAAUAAAAAUGAUGACCUCAAGGAAAGCAGUUUCAAGAAGUGACACUGAAUUCAUCUUGCCUUCCUCUUGCCCCCUGGGUUCUCUCCCUCCGGUUUGGGUUAAUUUGUAGAAAAUGGUAGUUUGUUUCAGGCCUGGCCUGAGCCAUAGGCUAUUUCACUUGUUAUGUUGCAAGGGCCCUUGAUUCUGUAAUCACAGGAGCCUCUGGCUCUGCAUUUUGAACCAUCUCUGGUUCUGCAUGUCUUUUCCUGAUGCUUCAAUUGGAAGACAAACCAGAAGGAAGCUGGUAAAAAGGUACUAUUGAACAAUCAGUUACUGCACCACGUCUCUGGUAGGUACUAGAAGAACAAAUAGAACAAAUAUGAACCAACAUCCUGGCAAACUAAGCAACUUCAUCAAAGGUUCCACUGCAGAUCAAUGGCAGGGCUGAGAUGUGACCCUAGUCAGUCUGGUUCCAGAAUUCAUACCCUUAAUCAUUCUGUCACUAACUCGACCUGUACAUAAGCCAAUCUCUAAGUAUCUAAGUAUCAAAUAGACAUACGGUUCAUGUGCCAGGAAAGCACAGAGGGAAGAGAUUAGUUCUGACAGGGGUAGGCUGGUUCUGGAAGGCUUUUAAAGAUCCUUCUUUAAACUGGGGCUUAAAAGAUGAAGAUUUUAACUGACAAAAAAGGAGAGUGUAUUAGGAAACACUGAGUUAAUGCUGCAGCAACAAAGGUUUCACACAACAAAGAUUGAUUAGCAUUGUAAAUUCAUGUGGGGCAAUAUCCAGGACUCCCUCAACGUCCUGACCCAGGGAUCCCAGCUGCCACCCAUGGCCUCUCAUUCCAUCACAUGCUUUCAGGGUCUCGAUGCAGGGGAAGAGACAAAAAUACAGAGAAUUCCAAUCUCAGUCCAAUGCUUUCAGCCUGGAAGCUACAGUUAUCACUUCUACUGGUGGCCCAUGGGUUCUAAGAGAGCACGGGACUACCUGGUGAGUAUUUAUUGCCUCUGCCACAGAGAAAGGGGCAUUCCAGACAGGGGCUAACGUGCAAAAGUGUAAAAGGAUAAAAAUGCACAGUAUGUGUGGAGAAGAGCAAAUAAACCUAGGACCCAAGAGGCCUUGAAAGCCAUUUCAUAUGUGUAUUAGUCUGCUCGGGCUGACA